rnacentral:rRNA from 1 species
UCAUGGCUCAGGACGAACGCUGGCGGCGUGCCUAAUACAUGCAAGUCGAGCGAACAGAGAAGGAGCUUGCUCCUUUGACGUUAGCGGCGGACGGGUGAGUAACACGUGGGCAACCUACCUUAUAGUUUGGGAUAACUCCGGGAAACCGGGGCUAAUACCGAAUAAUCUAUUUUACUUCAUGGUGAAAUACUGAAAGACGGUUUCGGCUGUCGCUAUAAGAUGGGCCCGCGGCGCAUUAGCUAGUUGGUGAGGUAACGGCUCACCAAGGCGACGAUGCGUAGCCGACCUGAGAGGGUGAUCGGCCACACUGGGACUGAGACACGGCCCAGACUCCUACGGGAGGCAGCAGUAGGGAAUCUUCCACAAUGGGCGAAAGCCUGAUGGAGCAACGCCGCGUGAGUGAAGAAGGUUUUCGGAUCGUAAAACUCUGUUGUAAGGGAAGAACAAGUACAGUAGUAACUGGCUGUACCUUGACGGUACCUUAUUAGAAAGCCACGGCUAACUACGUGCCAGCAGCCGCGGUAAUACGUAGGUGGCAAGCGUUGUCCGGAAUUAUUGGGCGUAAAGCGCGCGCAGGCGGUCCUUUAAGUCUGAUGUGAAAGCCCACGGCUCAACCGUGGAGGGUCAUUGGAAACUGGGGGACUUGAGUGCAGAAGAGGAAAGUGGAAUUCCAAGUGUAGCGGUGAAAUGCGUAGAGAUUUGGAGGAACACCAGUGGCGAAGGCGACUUUCUGGUCUGUAACUGACGCUGAGGCGCGAA